CGCCUGUUUAUCAAAAACAUAACCAUAUGUAUGCACAUAUGGCGUUUUCUGCUCAAUGAUACUUAAAUAGCCGCAGUACUCUGACUGUGCAAAGGUAGCAUAAUAAAUUGGCUUAUAAUUGAAGUCUAGAAUGAACGAAUACAUGGGGAAUAGCUGUCUCAUCAGUGCAUAAUGAAUUUACUUAAUAUGUGCAAAUUCAUAUAAAUAAAUAAUAGACGAGAAGACCCUAGAAAUUUUUACUAAUAAAUGAAAACUGUUUUUGCUGGGGCGGCAUAGUAACAGAUAACUUGCAAUAUUUUACAUGAAGCAAUAUUUGCAGCCAGAUUAAAUUACUCUAGGGAUAACAGCAUAAUUUACUAUAGUUUGUGACCUCGAUGUUGGAUUAGGAAGUUGAAGUUUAGAAGAUUUACAAAUUUGCUCUGUUCGAGCAAUUUUUCCUACGUGAUCUGAGUUCA
rnacentral:rRNA from 1 species